CCCUUAGAUGUUCUGGGCCGCACGUGCGCUACAAUGGUCUUCGCAAACGGAUGCAUUCUCGAAGGAGAAUGCCAAUCUUGGAAUCUAUGCCUUGGUCGGGACAGUUGCUUGCAAUUUUUCGACUCGAACCAGGAAUUCCUUGUAAUCGUGAUUCAUCACAUCACGAUGAAUACGUCCCUGCCCUUUGUACACACCGCCCGUCGCUCCUACCGAUCGAAGAGUUAGGUGAAUUGUUUUGAUCGAUAAGAUUUGACUAUGGUCAACUCUCGUUGUGAAAUUCUGUGAAUCUGACUGUUUAGAGGAAGGAAAAGUCGUAACA
rnacentral:rRNA from 1 species